GAUGAGCGCUGGCGGCGUGCUUAACACAUGCAAGUCGAACGGUGAAGCAGGAGCUUGCUCUUGUGGAUCAGUGGCGAACGGGUGAGUAACACGUGAGCAACCUGCCCCUGACUCUGGGAUAAGCGCUGGAAACGGCGUCUAAUACUGGAUAUGUGAUGUGACCGCAUGGUCUGCAUCUGGAAAGAAUUUCGGUUGGGGAUGGGCUCGCGGCCUAUCAGCUUGUUGGUGAGGUAAUGGCUCACCAAGGCGUCGACGGUUAGCCGGCCUGAGAGGGUGACCGGCCACACUGGGACUGAGACACGGCCCAGACUCCUACGGGAGGCAGCAGUGGGGAAUAUUGCACAAUGGGCGGAAGCCUGAUGCAGCAACGCCGCGUGAGGGAUGACGGCCUUCGGGUUGUAAACCUCUUUUAGCAGGGAAGAAGCGAAAGUGACGGUACCUGCAGAAAGAGCACCGGCUAACUACGUGCCAGCCGCCGCCGUAA
rnacentral:rRNA from 1 species